UACGUAGGGGGCUAGCGUUGUCCGGAAUUAUUGGGCGUAAAGAGCUCGUAGGCGGUCUGUCGCGUCGAUCGUGAAAACUUGGGGCUUAACCCUGAGCUUGCGGUCGAUACGGGCAUGACUGGAGUUCGGCAGGGGAGACUGGAAUUCCUGGUGUAGCGGUGAAAUGCGCAGAUAUCAGGAGGAACACCGGUGGCGAAGGCGGGUCUCUGGGCCGAUACUGACACUGAGGAGCGAAAGCGUGGGGAGCGAACAGG
rnacentral:rRNA from 1 species